UUCCGGUUGAUCCUGCCAGCGGCCACCGCUAUUGGGUUUCGCUUAAGCCAUGCGAGUCGAGAGGGUUCGGCCCUCGGCAGACUGCUCAGUAACACGUGGAGAACUUGCCCUAGGCUGGAGGAUAACGUCGGGAAACUGACGACAAUACUCCAUAGCCUCUCCUUCCUGGAACGGUGGAGAGGUGAAAGCUCCGGCGGCCUAGGAUAGCUCUGCGGCCUAUCAGGUCGUAGCGAGGGUAACGUCCUCGCUAGCCUACGACGGGUAUGGGUGUUGGGAGACAUCGCCCAGAGAUGGAUUCUGAGACACGAAUCCAGGUCCUACGGGACGCAGCAGGCGCGAAAACUGCACAAUGUGGGAAACCACGAUGCCGGGAACCCCAGUGCCAGCGCUAUGCGUUGGCU
rnacentral:rRNA from 1 species